rnacentral:rRNA from 1 species
UACGUAGGGGGCUAGCGUUGUCCGGAAUCAUUGGGCGUAAAGCGCGUGUAGGCGGUCCGGUAAGUCCGCUGUGAAAGUCGGGGGCUCAACCCUCGAAUGCCGGUGGAUACUGUCGGGCUAGAGUGCGGAAGAGGCGAGUGGAAUUCCGGGUGUAGCGGUGGAAUGCGUAGAGAUCCGGAAGAACACCAGGGGCGAAGGCGGCCUGCUGGGCAGUUGCUGACACUGAAUCGCGACAGCGUGGGGAGCAAACAGG